UACGUAGGGUGCAAGCGUUGUCCGGAAUUAUUGGGCGUAAAGCGCGCGCAGGCGGCCCGGUAAGUCGGAUGUGAAAUCCCACGGCUCAACCGUGGAACUGCAUUCGAUACUGUCGGGCUAGAGGCAGGUAGGGGAGGUCGGAAUUCCUGGUGUAGCGGUGAAAUGCGCAGAUAUCAGGAGGAACACCGGUGGCGAAGGCGGAUCUCUGGGCCUGUCCUGACGCUCAGGCGCGAAAGCUAGGGGAGCGAACAGG
rnacentral:rRNA from 1 species